GAAUGUGUCUUCAGAGGUGAAAAGGGUGUUUAAAUGUCUGCCUGCCUUCUGCAUAAACACCUUAACAUGGCUCAAGAUCCGGCUCCAGAACAUCUUUCUUGCCACUCCCUCUGCCCCGUCACAGCUCCUGAAAGAGGCCAUUCAUCCUUCUAUUCACCCAGGCCAUCACCAAUGCUUAUUGGGCGUGCCUCGUCUUAGGCACUGAGACGAAGAGCUGAUGAAGACAGAGUUCCUCCCUCUGAACUCUUCACCGGCCUUCAGUGCUCUCCAGGUGGAGCGGGAUUCUCCAGGUUCAUUCCUCAGCCCUACCAGUCUCCCAGCCUCUGCAGAUGGGAGGGACUUGGCAGUGAGCACGUGGUAGUUGUAGGGCUGCUGUCUGGGCCAUCUUUACAUCCCUGGAGCUUCGCUUGGUGCCUGUCAUGGGGCAGGCAUGCAGGAAAUGUUUGUCGAAUAAGUGAGUAAACGGCUGAGUGAAGCAUUCUCCAUACUCUCCCUUGGCAGUCCAAUGUGAGAGCUGUACACAUUCAUUUUUUUUUCUUCACAUCACCAUUGGAGAGAGAAGCAGCAGACACAGCUGAGCUCCUGGCUUGGUGAAGGGCAUGCCAAGGGGAUGUGGGUGCUUGGAUGUUUGCCAACUGUUUUUCACUUUUGUGAGAAUCAUUAUUUACCUAUUGCUUGAUUCAGAAUCCCAGACCUAGAAGGACUUUAGAAACUUGAAGUUCAACUUUUUUACUUUAUAAGAUGAAUGACAGAGUCAAAGUGAGGAAACUCCUUGAUGAAGGACAAAGCCAGGACUUGAAUCCCAGUAUCCUACUCGCUCCUAAUUAGGUAAAGACAAUCUUUUUUCCUCAUAUUAUUUCUUUCAUCUAUGGGUGUGUGCUGUCUCACCCAACUUUUCCCAAAUCCUGCACCUUCUGGGAUUGCUGGAGAUGACAGCAGCAUCUUUUUCCUUCCUCCUUCAACUUUGCACUGUUCUCUCUUUUCUGCAUAAUGAGUCUGGGGAUAAAACACUCUGGAAACCCAAGGAAACUGGACAGAGUCCUCUACAUCCAUGGGCCACACAUGUGGCUGAAGAGAGAUGCUAUCCUGUCUCUGCCUGGAAAGGAGACCCAGCCACACACAGAGAAAUGGUCUAGCCGAGGGCUUCUGUAAAUGUUGCGAUUGGAUCCAUAGUACCUGAUGAGGGCUUUCUCAAUCCCGUAAUUGGCAAAGCCCCAACUGUGACCAGCUGACACGGUGGAGCGUGUCAGCCAGCAGAGUCCCCUGGCUCAUUACCAAUCUAUGGGAUAACGAUGACCACCAUAGUCAUAAUCAUUAUCACCUUAGGCAUGGAUGACAAAGGCACCCUAGGGACUUCUGCUUGAAAUGAGCUGCUUCUUAGCCAAACCCUAAUCUCCAGAGUGACUUUCUACAGAACUGCAGGAUCAUGAAACUGAAAAGGGCCCAUGGAGAUCAUCAGUUCUGGCUUCCCGCCUUCAGGCAGGUCUAACCUUUAUAGAAUAGUUGCUGUGGAGGAAAUUGAACCAAACUUACUUUUAUAUGUUAUUCUUGUGAUAGUAUCUCUGUUGAGCAUUCGAUUAAGAAAUGGGUUUGAUGAAUCAGAAACCUGGAGGAGAAAAGAAAAUAUUAAUGACUGGGCAUCACUCUUGCAGGACAAACAUCUCCCCGUGACAUUCACUUAUUCAUUCAUAGUUACUGAGUAUCUACCAUGAGCCAAACACAAUGACAGCUGCAAAUUCAGAGAGCAAAGCCAGAGUCCCUAUUCUCAAGGACAGCCCAGUCUAGAGAGGAAGACAGGAUUGUUGCUAUUUCUGUGGAAGAGUUUGUCCCAUGAGAACCACUGUACUGAUCCUCUUUUCUUGCCCCUGCUGGGAAGCUAUCUCUGGUUCUAGAGCAGAAGGCCAUCACAGAAACUCAGCCAAACAGUAAAUUGGAGGUGAGGUUUUCACCAGGACCAUGAAGACUUCACUUCUUCAAUCGGGUAACUUCCCAAAGAAGUAUUUUCCUACUUUAGAGAUGUGGAAGGAUUGGGAGCUGCUACUCAAGAUGAUCUUACACAUGCACUGAAUGGUUUGAGCAUCAUUCUUAUCAUUGAUUAAGGGGCUGGAUCAACGGCUGGACUUCAGGCAUGGUCAGAAGGAAAAAGGAGCCUAUAAUUGGCCAUUUCUUGGCUGGGUCAUGACCACAGCAAGGGCAUAGAUGUUUAAUAGGCAGUGUAAGGUUACAAUUCCAAAUAUGCAUUAACUGAACCCAUCAAUGAUAUCUAGCGGGGACAACGGGAGGACUUGAGGACAAUUGAUGAUGGUAAGUCAUUUGACAAAAAUAGGGCCUGAAAAAAUACAAAUUUUGGUUCUAUAUCUUUUGAAAAAUAUCACUCCUUAGUUGUCACUUAAGCCUAGGACCAAAGGCUAGCUAGCUUCCCUAAUCACUAGGCUUACUUACUAGAGCAAAGGGUAGAGUGUGGGUACAGGCAUCUGUUGUUAUCUUGCCCAGCAUAUAUUUAUUUAUCCCUCUUCCCUUGGUAACAGCACCCUUCCUUUCCUUUGAAUAACUGUGCCUACUGCAUUUCCAUAUGGCCCUGGGGGGCACCAAUCCUGGUACCCUGUUCCUGGGUAGGUUCAUGACCUUACAGGUUGGCCAGACUCAGUCUCCCAGGAAUCUGAAUUAUAGGUGGAGUGAAAUAUGAAUGGAAGGUGAAUGAAGACAAGUCAAUUUGAUGGCAGUUCUCAGAAAGAAUGAAUCGGAGAUCCCUGGUACUGACCUGAUGUUCCUGACCUUCUUGUGGUCCUUGAUUCUAUGAGUUACUUAGUGUUCUCUCAAAUAAACUAAUCCUUAAAUUAACUAGAGUGGCUUUUCCGUUUCUUAUAGUCAAAGAACACUGAGUGCUCCCUGCCAUGGUGCCCCUAAGGAGAGAAAGGCCAGUCUCUCUUUCUUUUGCUCUGUCUGUAUAUGUGUGCAUUUGUG
rnacentral:lncRNA from 10 species